rnacentral:rRNA from 1 species
UACAGAGGUCCCGAGCGUUGUUCGGAUUCACUGGGCGUAAAGGGUGCGUAGGUGGCGAGGUAAGUCGGAUGUGAAAGCUCGGAGCUCAACUCCGAAAUGGCAUUGGAAACUACCUUGCUCGAGGGUUGGAGGGGGGACUGGAAUACUUGGUGUAGCAGUGAAAUGCGUAGAUAUCAAGUGGAACACCAGUGGCGAAGGCGGGUCCCUGGACAACUCCUGACACUGAGGCACGAAAGCUAGGGGAGCAAACAGG